rnacentral:rRNA from 1 species
CCUACGGGUGGCAGCAGUGGGGAAUAUUGCACAAUGGGGGAAACCCUGAUGCAGCGACGCCGCGUGAGUGAAGAAGUAUUUCGGUAUGUAAAGCUCUAUCAGCAGGGAAGAAAAUGACGGUACCUGAGUAAGAAGCCCCGGCUAACUACGUGCCAGCAGCCGCGGUAAUACGUAGGGGGCAAGCGUUAUCCGGAUUUACUGGGUGUAAAGGGAGCGUAGACGGCAGUGCAAGUCUGGAGUGAAAGGCCGGGGCUGAACCCCGGGACUGCUUUGGAAACUGUGCAGCUAGAGUGCCGGAGAGGUAAGCGGAAUUCCUAGUGUAGCGGUGAAAGGCGUAGAUAUUAGGAGGAACACCAGUGGCGAAGGCGGCUUACUGGACUGUAACUGACGUUGAGGCUCGAAAGCGUGGGGAGCAAACAGGAUUAGAUACCCGAGUAGUC